rnacentral:lncRNA from 1 species
CCUCGGCACAAUCUGACGCCAAAACGGCGAAAAGGGUCCACCGUCAACCUCGACGGCCCCCAACAGUCCGGAACAGUCUGAACACUACAGUAAAAAUACACUCGGCAUCCCAGCGCGAGCGUAACUGAAAUCUAAACUACCUGGGGUAUCCACCAUACUGAUACUACAGCGAUACAAAAUAACAACGGCUCCUAAAGCUAAAUCAGGUAGUUUAAGCAUAUGACAGGUUAUAAUCGUUGUUUCCCCCUAAGUCAAAUUUCAGUCCAACAUGUGCUAGUAGAUACAUGCAACGAGGAAGCUCCAAUUCAGAUUUUACAUGGAAUAUGCCAAAAUUCAUGAACUGAGCAAAAUCUAAUAACACAACAACACAUGUCGACCAACUAUAUACUUAGAAGACAAACCGACGAUUAACCCACCUCGAUAGCUAAUCCUAAUCUGGCGCGACGUCGAGAACGGCGGAAUCGCACCCUCGCCCGGCCUCCUCGCGACGCUACGACGACGAACGUACACUCGAACGACACCGCGGCGCGACGUCGACGAAACUCCAACACCACCCAAGCUCCUCCUCCGCACGUACGGCCAAGCUCAACAGAGAGAGAGAGCACACUAAAACAUCUCCUCUCUACUUCUCUCUAUCCUAUAUAGGAGGGAGAAGGGGUGGGUGAAAACAACGAGGGAAGAAAAGACCAAAAAGCCCCUUUCCCACCCUGGUGUACCGGUACACGGGCAAAUGUACCGGUACAAAUGGCAACCCAAGAGCAGCUGCGCAAAAUCUGUCGAAGUGUACCGGUACACCCCUGAUGUUGUACCGGUACAGAAAGUGUACCGGUACGCCUUGAUGGUUGUACCGGUACAACAAGCAGAAAAUCUGCUGUUUGCAGAUUCCAAUGCCAAGUCCUGCUCCCGCGUCCCCGCUGAGUCCGUUUUGCGUCUAUUUCGCGCCAACGU